AGAAGAGUUCAGAGCUGAAUGUGCUGUUAAGAGGUGGGAUCUGGCUGGAAGAGGGAUCCACAGGAGGAAACUGCACAAACACAACAUGGCGCAUUUGAGUAGCUGCAUCCCCAGAAAGACCUGGUGAACACAGUGACAUACAUCAUGGAACUGGAAUUUCUUUCACUCUGGAGGAGUUAGGAUGUCUCUUUGCCACUUUACCAGGAUGCACAGAGGCAGGGCUGGGAAAGCUCUGGCUCUGCUGCUUUCAAAACUCCAAAGCCACAGGAGGAAAGAGGCAGACAUCUGAGCCAGCGUCUUGUCUGGAAAUAAUUAUGCUGCGCCAACGAAACUGGAAAUCUGCAGUGCACAGAAGCACAGCCCCAUCCGCGCAGGCCCAGAUAAAGGAACCAAGCAAGCUCCUUAUGCCGUGGACUGACUUCUCCAUUUCCCCAGAAUGUAAGAACCACCUCUUCACCCAAAGCCCACACCUUCAGUUAGAAGCCAGUCGUGUUAUUACUCUAUUAAGAAACAACAGGUUCGCGAGUAGAGAAGUUUCCAAGAAAAACUGCAAAUUUAUCCUUUAUUGAGAUGUUUUGGAUUUCAACUCUCAUAAUAUUAAAGCAAACCCUGAUUCUU